UCAAGACAAGUUUAAAGAAAAAUGUAUGUAGUCAAAUUUUAAAUAAUGUAUAGGUAGUAUUAUCCUUUGAUUGUAAAUUGUUUUCCCUACUACGUAAAGCUGGUACAAUAGCCGUACGGUUUUUUAUAUACCGAAAAGCAUUCAUUCAUCAUGGAGUCCAGGAUGAUUUACGAUGUGAUGGUAGAACAAUGCUGGAUUAUCACCCUUUAAUUCUUGAAACUACAUUAGUUUCCAAUGCCAGUGGAUCGGCAAGGCUGAGACUUGCAAACUCAUCAACAUCUGGAAAAUGAAAUUUGCAAAUUCCUACAAAGAUCCUAUGCUUCAGAUUCUUGAAUGUGGAGGGAACCCUUAUGAUGUAGUGUCAUUGGCUGAGAAAUCGGCUCUUUAUACAACCCAAAUUCCAUUAAAAUAGCAACCAUGGACGGAUAUCAACCAGAUCUGGAGCUCUAAGAUGAUCCUUAUGUUACCAAGAGACUAAACACAGAGAACAUUCCUUGUGGACUGACUUUGAUGAAGGAGGUGGUGUCCUGGUGGCACGUUGCGAACAUGACGCUAUCACCGUUGGAUCGGCUGGUGAUAACCAAUUUAUCAACAUCAAAGAAUGGGACUCAAGGUUGUCUGGUGAAGUCGAAUGGCGCCAGAAACUGGACACUCAGCGAGGUGCUGUUCAGGCCAACGAGCUGAAGAAUAAUGCAUGCAAGCUAGCAAAAUGGACUGUGCAAGCUCUGCUCGCCAACUCUGAUUGGAUUAAAUUCGGAUAUGUAUCCCGUAUGCACAUACGAGAUACAUCGCGUCGUGUAAUCCUUGGAACACAGCAGUUCCACCCGUCAGAUUUCGCAUCGCAAAUCAACCUUAACAUCGACAAUGCUUGGGGCAUUCUCCGUUGUAUUAUUGAUUUGUGUAUGAAGGAAGAGGAUGGCAAAUAUUUGUUGGUGAAGGAUCCUAACAAGCCCGUCAUUCGCCUUUACAAGGUGCCCGAUAUUACGUUUGAGAGCGACGAUGAAGCAUUUUUCGGAGAAGGAGAAGAAGACGAGUAACGGCUGAUACAAACAAAAGAACAGCUCUUCCACUAAUUCCCCAAUCUACAACAAUACUACGUUUGUAAUGAUCGUUACAUGGAAUAAAGCACUUAUGAAGCUUCCAGUUUA
rnacentral:lncRNA from 1 species